rnacentral:rRNA from 1 species
CCUACGGGUGGCAGCAGUGGGGAAUAUUGGACAAUGGGGGGAACCCUGAUCCAGCCAUGCCGCGUGUGUGAAGAAGGCCCUCGGGUUGUAAAGCACUUUCAGUGAGGAAGAACGCCUGGUGGUUAAUACCCAUCAGGAAAGACAUCACUCACAGAAGAAGCACCGGCUAACUCCGUGCCAGCAGCCGCGGUAAUACGGAGGGUGCGAGCGUUAAUCGGAAUUACUGGGCGUAAAGCGCGCGUAGGUGGCUUGAUAAGCCGGUUGUGAAAGCCCCGGGCUCAACCUGGGAACGGCAUCCGGAACUGUCAAGGUAGAGUGGGGGAGGGGAAGGGAGAAUUCCGGGUGUAGCGGUGAAAUGCGUAGAGAUCGGGAGGAAGACCAGUGGCGAAGGCGGCCUUGUGGACUGACGCUGAGAGUGAGGUGCGAAGGCGUGGGUAGGAAACAGGAGUAGAGACCCGAGUAGUG